rnacentral:rRNA from 1 species
AUGCCCUUACAAAAGAUGAUCCAGACAAGCAAAGGGAACAUGUUACUAAGAACGGUAGAUGAGUUGAUUGAUCCCAAUACAGGAGCCUGGGAUGUGGAACUUGUCAGGAGUAUUUUCCUUCCAAUUGAUGCAGAAAGAAUUUUGAGAAUUCCUCUACCAGUGCAUCUAAACGAGGAUUUUGUAGCAUGGCAUAAGACCAAAUUGCACUCAUUUUCUGUUCAGUCAGCCUACUACUCAGAAUGGAAACACCAAUUUUGUUCAAAAAUUAUUAGUAGUGAAGGGACCUCAAAUGUUAAUCCUGUUUGGUCGGCUGUGUGGAAGUUGGAAGUCCCUAGUAAGAUAAAAAAAACUUCAUCUGGCGAGCUCUUAAAGGUGUCGUUCAUGGUAUGGCAGUUCUCGCUUCUAGGCACAUUAAAGUCUCAGCAGAAUGUCCUAUUUGUCGUUCUGGGCCUGCAGACAUUCGCCAUUUGUUGUUUACUUGUACACGUGCUCGGCAUGUUUGGAAGGCAAUUGGCCUUAAUAUAG